rnacentral:rRNA from 1 species
UAGUCAUAUGCUUAUCUCGAAGAUUAAGCCAUGCAUGCUUAAGUACCAGUUCUUGAACGACGAAACCGUAGACGGCUCAUUAUAACAGCUAUUAUUUAAGAGAGAUAAUGAACCACAGGAUAACUGUGGCAAUUCUAGAGCUAAUACAUGGAAAGUAAUCAUGACUUACGAAAUGAUGGACUUAUUGUAUAAAGCUAAACUACCCCUCGGGGUUGAUUCUUGGUGACUCUAGAUAAUUGUACCUGAUCGCAUGGCCUUGUGCUAGCGACAUAUCUCUUGAAAUGGCUGACCUAUCAACUUUCGAUGGUAAGAUCAAUGCUUACCAUGGUUAUAACGGGUAACGGGGAAUCAGUGUUCGAUUCCGGAGAGGGAGCCUGAGAAACGGCUACCACAACUACGGUUGGCAGCAGGCGCGCAACAUACCCAUUGCUCGAUGAGCGAGGUUGUGAAAAUAAAUAACAAUAUGGACCCUUUUGGGAUUCAUAAUUGAAAUGAGAUCAUUUUAAAUACUUUAGCGAGUAUCAAUUGGAGGGCAAGUCUGGUGCCAGCAGCCGCGGUAAUUCCAGCUCCAAUAGCGUAUAUUAAAGUUGUUGCAGUUAAAAAGCUCGUAGUUGAAAUUGAGACAUGAAUUGAUUUGAUAUCUUUGAUAGAGAAUCUUUUCAGUCUUCCCAGUCGUGUAUAUUCUUGGUUUCCUUUUUUGGAUGCUCGGGAUAACCGACAAGUUUACUUUGAAAAAAUUAGAGUGCUUAAAGCAGGCUUACGCUUGAAUAUUGUUGCAUGGAAUAAUAGAAUAGGACUUUUGUUCUAUUUUGUUGGUUUUCGGAACGAAAGUAAUGAUUAAAAGAGACUGCCGGGGGCAUACGUAUGCUAGUGUUAGAGGUGAAAUUCAUAGAUCACUAGCAGACGACCUACUGCGAAAGCAUUUGCCAAGAAUGUUUUCAUUAAUCAAGAACGAAAGUCAGAGGAUCGAAGACGAUCAGAUACCGUCCUAGUUCUGACCAUAAACUAUGCCAACUGGCAAUUCGUUAUAGUAAUUAAUUUCGCUUAACGAGAGGUCACCGGGAAACCAAAGUCUAUGGGUUCCGGGGGAAGUAUGGUUGCAAAGCUGAAACUUAAAGGAAUUGACGGAAGGGCACCACCAGGAGUGGAGCCUGCGGCUUAAUUUGACUCAACACGGGAAAUCUCACCCGGUCCGGACACUGCGAGGAUUGACAGAUUGAUAGCUCUUUCUUGAUUCGGUGGGUGGUGGUGCAUGGCCGUUCUUAGUUGGUGGAGUGAUUUGUCUGGUUAAUUCCGAUAACGAACGAGACUCUAGCCUGCUAACUAGUAUAUAUGUAAAUUUAUGCAUAUACAGACUUCUUAGAGGAAUUAAUAGCGUUAGCUAAAUGAGAUGGAGCAAUAACAGGUCUGUGAUGCCCUUAGAUGUCCGGGGCCGCACGCGCGCUACAAUGACAGUAUCAACGAGUUUUCAAUCCUAGCUAGAAAUGGCUGGGUAACCUGCUGAAACACUGUCGUAUCAGGAAUAGUAGAUUGUAAUUUUUCUACUUGAACGAGGAAUUCCUAGUAAGUGCAAGUCAUUAGCUUGCGCUGACUAUGUCCCUGCCCUUUGUACACACCGCCCGUCGCUACUACCGAUUGAAUGGUUUAGUGAGAUUGUCGGAUUCUAGUCUAUGAGAUGGCAACAUUUCUAAGACCGGGAAAAGAUACUCAAACUUGACUAUUUAGAGGAAGUAAAAGUCGUAACAAGGUUUCCGU